rnacentral:lncRNA from 1 species
UUGAAAUCAACUAUAAGUCAAGAUCAAGAUAAAGUUCAAGUUCAAGAACGAUCAAGAUCAAGACCAUCGGAUUUAAGAUCAAGCUCGAAGCUCUUGAAAUCAACUAUAAGUCAAGAUCAAGAUAAAGUUCAAGAUCAAAGAUCAAGAUCAAGUUCAAGUUCAAGAUGAAGCUCAAGAGCCCUUGAGUUAUAUCCAAAAAGGCGAAAUCAGAGGAAUCAUAGAGAUUGUAACACUCGCACUUUAAAUCAAUAAAAUGAUUGUUGCAUAAUUUUCCAUUCUUGAUUAUUAUUUUCUUGACGUGAAUUUUAUCGUCUACAAAUUCUGGCACGCCCAGUGGGACAAUCUCUACCUCUCAUCUCAACUUUUCAAGCAUUAAAGAAUAUCGAAAUGACUUGCACUAUAGAAGAACGACUAGCAAGCUUAACUAAAGCAAUUGAAGGCCUGACAAAGUGCGCACACAAACAAGAUGCUAAACUUUCCAAGCUGACAAAUAAGAUGGAUAACAUGAUUGAGAGAAGAUCAAGUCAAUCACCUCUGAAGCUUCCUAAAAUUCAAGAAGAAGGAGAGUCUUGCGUAAAGCAAACAAAGAUCAAAGAGUUUCAUAUAUCCGCUGAAGGUUUGAUUUCAAUUGAUCAAUUGAAGGACUUUAUCAUAGAGGCUAUCGAAGACAAAUCUGAGUUUUCAUCCAAAUUUUCUCCCACAUAUGCAAAGCCAUAUACACAAAAGAUUGAUAACUUGAAAAUGCCUGAGGGUUAUCAACCUCCUAAGUUUCAACAAUUUGAUGGCAAAGGAAAUCCCAAAAAACAUAUAGCGCACUUUAUCGAGACUUGUAAUGAUGCUGGGACGUAUGGUGAUUAUCUCAUUAAAGAGUUCGUUCGAUCUCUCAGAGAAAAUGCUUUUGAUUGGUACACAGAUCUCGAACCAAAUUCAAUAGAUUGUUAGGAGAAGUUAGAGAAAGAGUUCCUCAAUUGUUUCUAUAGCACAAGACGCGCCUUUAGUAUGAUUGAACUUACAAAGGCUCAUCAAGGUGAAGAUGAGCUAGUUAUUGACUUUAUCAAUCGCUAGAGAAGUUUGAGCCUCAACGGCAAAGAUCACCUUAGUGAAACUUCUAGCAUUGAAAUGUGCAUCCAAGGCAUGAAUAUUACAAGGAUUAAAGUCCGAUACAUUCGAAGAGUUGGCAACUCGUGCACAUGACAUGGAAUUAAGCAUGACUUUAAGAGAAAAUCAACGAUUUCCAGUCUAUGAACCUCAUGAAGAUGAAGAUAUAGAAGAACUCCAAAAUGGGGGCAGGUCUGUAUCUGAAGAUGACUUUUAAGACUCAAUGUAUAUCUAAAUGCUCCUAGACGCAUGAGGCUAAACUGCAUAUCAUAAAACUCUUCAAAUUUUAGCUUAAUCUUAAAGUUGAAACACUCCUCGAAAUAUGAGCUUAAAUUGUAUGUCAUAAAACUCUUUAAAUUUGAGUUAAAUCUUCAAGUUGAAAUGCUCCUUGAACCACGAGCUUAAACUUUAUGUCUCAAGGCUCUUCUAAUUUAAGCUAAAUCUUCAAGUUGAAAUGCUCCUUGAAACACGAGCUUAAAUUGUAUGUCUCAAAGCUCUUCCAAUUUGAGCUAAAUCUUCAAGUUUAAAUGCUCCUUGAAACACGAGCUUAAACUGUAUGUCACAAAGCUUUUUAAAUUUGAGUUAAAUCUUCAAAUUGAAAUGCUCCUUGAGAUACGAGCCUAAACUGUAUAUCAGUAAGCUCUUUAAAUUUGAGUUAAAUCUUCAAGUUGAAAUGCUCCUUGAAACACGAGCUUAAACUGUAUGUCUCAAACCUCUUCCAAUUUGAGCUAAAUCUUCGAGUUGAAAUGCUCUUCGAAACACGAGCUUAAACUGUAUGUCACAAUGCUUUUCAAAUUUGAGUUAAAUCUUCAAAUUGAAAUGCUCCUUGAGACAGGAGCCUAAACUGUAUAUCACAAAGCUCUUUAAAUUUUAGCUAAAUCUUCAAGUUAAAAUGCUCCUUAAAAAUGAGCAUUAACGGUAUAUCAUAAAACUCUUUAAAUUUGAGUUAAAUCUUCAAGCUAAAAUGCUCCUUAAGGUACGAGUCUAAACUACAUAUCACUCUUGGUCCGCAAGAGUAUAAACUGUGUACGACACACAAAAAAUAUUCUCCUAGAACUACGUUGUGACUUGAUCCUCUUCAUUGAGGUAUGUAGGCGCUUAGAACCAUAUUCUAAGUUCAGUUGCAUGAGUGUAAAUUAAUCACAUGUUCCCACUUGAUCUGUCACAUGAAAUAAUCUUUCAUCAAACUUUGGACUUGCACCAAAUGGUAGUGACCUGAUGGGGGCAAACCCUUAUGAAUAUAGGUUGUUUUGAAACUUGAAGUCUUCAAAAAUCUCCAAGUCUGCAAGUUGAAGUCUUCAAAAUUUAAAAAAAUCUUAAAGUCUAGAAGUUGUCAAAUCAAUCAAGUUUACUUAAAUUCUUCAAGUCUGCAAGUUGAAGUCUUCAAACUAAAAAAAGUAAUAAUCUCCAAGUCUAGAUGUUGAGGUCUUCAAAUCAAUCAAGUUUACAAGUUGAAGUCUUCGAAUUCUUCAAGUCUGCAAGUUAAGGUCUUCAAAUUCUUUAAGUCUACAGGUUGAAGUCUUGAAAUUCUUCAAGUCUACAAGUUGAAAGUCUUUAAAUUCUUCAAGUUUGCAAGUUAAAGUCUCAAAUCAAUUAAAUUUUCAAGUUGAAGUCUUCAAAUUCUUCAAGCCUAGUCUUUGAAAGAUAAAAUAUCUCGACAAGACGUGAAGAAUGGGGUAUUUCUUGUCAUUUAAAAUUUAUUAAAUAUAAAUUUAUAAAAUGAUUCGAUUUUAUAUUAAAUUCAUGAAUAUAUUAGUCCAAAUAAUAUUAUGGAUUAAUAUAAUUGAGUCAAUUAUUUAAAUCUAAUAAAUAUGGAUUUAAUUAAACCCGCUCCAUAAAGCCUAUAUGCCAUGUCACUUAAAUCUGAUUGGCCGAAGGGAAUCUUAUUCCUAUCACAAAUCGUCUAUUCUAAAACUAUAAAUAGGGGUCCUCAUAAUUCAUAAAACAAACCAAGAAUUAUAAACAAGAAGCUAGAGAGAGCUCGUGGAUCAAAAGCCACAGAUUUCUCUACAAGUUCAAGAAUUCUAACAAAAAGCUAGAGAAAGCUCGUGGAUCAAAAGCCGCAGAUUUCUCUACAAGCUACAAGUUCAAGAAUUUUAGAAGUCAAGAUCAAGUAAAGUUCAAGUUCAAGAAUGAUCAAGAUCAAGACCGCCAUAUUCAAGAUCAAGCUCGAAGCCCUUGGAUUCAACUAAAAGUCAAGAUCAAGAUAAAGUUCAAGUUCAAGAAUGAUCAAGAUCAAGAUCGUUGGAUUCAAGAGCAAGCUCGAAGCCCUUGGAUUCAACUAGAAGUCAAGAUCAAGAUAAAUUUCAAGUUUAAGAACGAUCAAGAUCAAGACCGCCGGAUCCAAGAUCAAGCUCUAACCCCUUGAAUUCAACUAGAAGUCAAGAUCAAGAUAAACUUCAAGUUCAAGAAUGAUCAAGAUCAAGACCGCCGGAUCCAAGAUCAAGCUCUAACCCCUUGAAUUCAACUAGAAGUCAAGAUCAAGAUAAAAUUCAAGUUCAAGNNNNNNNNNNNNNNNNNNNNNNNNNNNNNNNNGUUCAAGUUCAAGAAUGAUCAAGAUCAAGACCGCCGGAUCCAAGAUCAAGCUCUAACCCCUUGAAUUCAACUAGAAGUCAAGAUCAAGAUAAAGUUCAAGUUCAAGAUAAAUUCAAGAUGAAGCUCAAGAGCCCUUGAAUUAUAUCUGAAAAGGUGAAUUCAGAGGAAUCAUAGAGAUUGU